rnacentral:rRNA from 1 species
ACACUCCUACGGGAGGCAGCAGUGGGGAAUAUUGGACAAUGGGCGCAAGCCUGAUCCAGCCAUGCCGCGUGAGUGAUGAAGGCCCUAGGGUUGUAAAGCUCUUUCACCGGUGAAGAUAAUGACGGUAACCGGAGAAGAAGCCCCGGCUAACUUCGUGCCAGCAGCCGCGGUAAUACGAAGGGGGCUAGCGUUGUUCGGAUUUACUGGGCGUAAAGCGCACGUAGGCGGACUAUUAAGUCAGGGGUGAAAUCCCGGGGCUCAACCCCGGAACUGCCUUUGAUACUGGUAGUCUUGAGUUCGAGAGAGGUGAGUGGAAUUCCGAGUGUAGAGGUGAAAUUCGUAGAUAUUCGGAGGAACACCAGUGGCGAAGGCGGCUCACUGGCUCGAUACUGACGCUGAGGUGCGAAAGCGUGGGGAGCAAAUAGGAUUAGAAACCCCAGUAGUCCCAUGA